GGAAUCAGACAACACAUAUCAGACGACAGCAAACAUUUUAACUGUCGUCUGAAAUAAUCAGACGACAGCAAGAAAUAUUCUGUCGUCUAAGUUUUUGAAUCCAACAAUAGUUUUUUCUUGGCUCUUGUGCAAAAGCAUUUCAGACAAUGGUUGAUUUUUUUGAUGUUGUCUGAAUGAGUCAAUUCAGACAACAGUUAUUAUGUGAUGUUGUCCAAGGUUCAUUUAUACAAUGGUUUAUUUUUGCUGUUGUCUGAUUAUUUUCAGUCACACAACUGUUUUAUUUUAUUUUAGGUGUCUGUUGUCUGAUAUCUUUUAAGUCAAUGCCUGCUGAAAGAUGUUGUCUGAUUGCUCUGAUUCACACAACAGUUUUUUAGUUGUCUAUUGUGCUACUCUCUUUCAGACAAUGUACUGAAAUUGAUGUUGUCUGAGUUUUAGGGUUCAAUAUGCUGGCACGCUGGUUAAUUGACUCAACACUCGGCCAAAAUUUUCAAUUUUCACUUCCCUCCAUUAGACCAAAUUUUACAUUUCACGUGGAGUAGUAUAUAAAGGAAAGAACCCUAGCCAUUUCUUUUUUUCUCCUUCUUUCUCUCUAGUGCCACACAUGCCUCUCUCUCUCUCUCCCCCCCCCCCCUCUCCUUCUUAUCAAAUCAAGCAAACUGAUAAGACAGUCAGGCGAAGAUUUGGUCCGAAUUAAGCUCCACCGAUGCCGGAGGAUACCAGAAUGGCCGGGAGAAAAGACUUCUCCUCCGCUCAGAUCUGCAGUCUUCGUCCCACAGUCCCACUCGAUCUCAGCUCGACCAUGCUUUCGUCAGCCUUAUUCUCCGCAAAGCCGUCUCCAAGCUCGGUGAGGCUCGCCGUCCGCGCAUUUCUGAUUCCGAUCGGUUGAGAUAUGUCCUUGAGAUGCUAUCUGCAAACAGCAAAGCUUCUGAGCAAACGAAAAAAGAUCCUGGUUUUGUUUUCAGCACAAAACAGUUUAAGGAGAUGUUGACAUUAGGAGGAUUAAACAGUCAAAGCACAUGCAUAACUUAGCUGUAUCAAUUUCCUGUUAAACUUCAUUCAUAAAAGGAUGAUGGAGAACAAGAGGAUGAUGGACAGUUCUACUAGAGAAAUAGAGAGGACAAUCCUUCUGAGGGCAAGAGAAGAAACUAGUUCAAGGUUAAGAAAACUGCUACGUAAGGGCAGAUGAAUUUGUUGCUAUUGAUUAUAACAGGCCUCUUUCGGAUCAAGGCCCUUUUGACAUUGUGUUGCAUAAGCUUUUGGGAAGAGAGUGAUGCUAGAUUCUUGGUGGUAGUAGUAUCCAAAGGAUUCGAGAAGAGGCUAUAGUUGGUUGAUGAUGGUUAUCGAGCAACAUUAGAAUGAAGGAUCUUGGUAUUGAGUCUUGGGUUCUCCCAUCCAGUAAUGAUGGAUAUUCCUGCUGGCAGACAAGUGAAGGUGGAAAAAAACACCAGAAUCAUAGUUAGUGGUUAUGACUAGAGUGAAAUCAGCCAGUUUGCUGCUUCCAUUAGGAAAUGGAGACUUACAGAGCCAUACAAAGGUAAGAGUGUGAAAUUAUGCUGAAGGAAUUGUAAGAAGAAAGGAGGGAAAAGCAGGAAAGAAGUAAUAUGUUCUUUCCUUGGCCUUGGUUUAUUUUUAUUCUAGGUGUCGUCUGGUUCAGGUAUAGCAUAAUUUCUUAUUGUUAUUGUCAUUAUAACUUUUGUUUCAUUGAAUGCAAGAUUCUGUAUUGAGCAAUUUUAGGUGCAUUUGUAAUGAUUUUGAGGAUGCUUUAAUGCCUUUGUCAUUGUUUCAUUUUCUUAAUUUUGGAUUUGCAUUUGCUCCUUUUAUUUUGAUCUUUUUACUCUGUUUACACAAGGAUCAUGUUUUUUGUGACCGGAGCCUGGGACCAAACUUCUGCAGUCUCUAAAGGCAUACCAAAAUGCUGAAAAAGAUGAAAGGAUGAAAUCUAAUCCAGACCUGUACUUUAACUGUGCUACUGUAAACAAAUAUCUAGAAAACUAUGAAAUGGCCCUUACUGGAUUUGAAGCUGCUGCUUUAAAGGAUCCUGGUCUCAAUGCUACCGAAGAGGUUCAAAAGAUUGUUAACCUUCUUGACAAGCUAGAUAAUUUGUUAAGGGUAAUGCGUUUUUCAUUCGUAAAUGUGGUAUCUUGAGGUCUUGAGUAUGUGUUUCCAAAGUGGUUUCUAGGAUCAAGGGGCCUUGGGCUAUCAUCUAUUGGCAGGUAACUUUUGAGUUGUUGGUGUGCGAGGACAUAACUGGGGGUCUAGAGGAUAUUGCCAUUCCAGCUAGCAAUUUGGUCGAUGAUCCGCCUGUUGCUUUGCCAGUUGAUGUUGUAAAUAUGGUUAUCUUAGCAAGCAUAAAGGAGUUAAGGCUUAAAGCUGCUGGUGCAUUGUUUUCACUUAUUUGUGAGGUUUAGGACGUUAAUGCGCAUCACAUUUAUGGACAAGUAUAAGUUUAUGGUUAGGGUUAAUGUUGGGAUGGAAUAACUUUGUUGAAUAUAUGGAUGAAUGUAUCGGAUCUUUACAUAAAUGAAUUUGUUUUGAAUGUGUUGUCA